GGCUCAGAACGAACGCUGGCGGCGCGUCUUAAGCAUGCAAGUCGAACGGCAAGAGGUAGCAAUACCUCCUAGAGUGGCGGACUGGUGAGUAACACGUGGGUGACAUACCCUUCAGAUGGGGAUAGCUAUUAGAAAUAGUAGAUAAUACCGAAUACGAGCACAGGGGUUAGAGAUCUGUGAGGAAAGGAGCUAAGGCUCCGCUGAAGGAAUGGCCUGCGGCCCAUUAGCUAGUUGGUGAGGUAAGAGCCCACCAAGGCGAUGAUGGGUAUCCGGCCUUAGAGGGUGAACGGACACAUUGGGACUGAGAUACGGCCCAGACUCCUACGGGAGGCAGCAGCUAAGAAUAUUCCGCAAUGGACGAAAGUCUGACGGAGCGACGCCGCGUGGAUGAAGAAGGCCGGAAGGUUGUAAAAUCCUUUUGAAACUGAAGAAUAAGCGUUGUAGGGAAUGACAGCGUGGUGACAGUAGGUUUUGAAUAAGCAACGGCUAAUUACGUGCCAGCCGCAGC
rnacentral:rRNA from 1 species